AUUGAACGCUGGCGGCAUGCCUUACACAUGCAAGUCGAACGGCAGCACGGGAGCAAUCCUGCUGACGAGUGGCGAACGGGUGAGUAAUGCGUCGGAACGUGCCGAGUAGUGGGGGAUAACGCAUCGAAAGGUGUGCUAAUACCGCAUACGAACUGAGGUUGAAAGUGGGGGACCUUCGGGCCUUACGCUAUUCGAGCGGCCGACGUCUGAUUAGCUAGUUGGUGAGGUAAAGGCUCACCAAGGCGACGAUCAGUAGCGGGUCUGAGAGGAUGAUCCGCCACACUGGGACUGAGACACGGCCCAGACUCCUACGGGAGGCAGCAGUGGGGAAUUUUGGACAAUGGGCGCAAGCCUGAUUCAGCCAUGCCGCGUGUCUGAAGAAGGCCUUCGGGUUGUAAAGGACUUUUGUCCGGGAGCAAAUGCUGGUGGCUAACAUCCACCGGAGCUGAGAGUACCGGAAGAAUAAGCACCGGCUAACUACGUGCCAGCCGCCGCCGUAACAC
rnacentral:rRNA from 1 species